CCUACGGGGGGCUGCAGUGGGGAAUUUUGCGCAAUGGGGGAAACCCUGACGCAGCAACGCCGCGUGAGUGAUGAAGGCCUUCGGGUCGUAAAGCUCUGUCAGGGGGGAAGAAAUGUAGGGGUGCUAAUAUCGCCUUUACUUGACGGUACCCUCAAAGGAAGCACCGGCUAACUCCGUGCCAGCAGCCGCGGUAAUACGGAGGGUGCGAUCGUUGUUCGGGAUUAUUGGGCGUAAAGCGUGUGUAGGCGGUGAAAGCCCCGGGCUCAAACCGGGAAGUGCAUUGGAAACUGUCAGACUUGAAUACGGGAGAGGGUAGUGGAAUUCCUAGUGUAGGAGUGAAAUCCGUAGAUAUUAGGAGGAACACCGGUGGCGAAGGCGGCUACCUGGACCGAUAUUGACGCUGAGACGCGAAAGCGUGGGGAGCAAACAGGAUUAGAUACCCGGGUAGUC
rnacentral:rRNA from 1 species